ACUGGUAAGAUGUCAGGAGAAAAUAGAUUUACCCCUCCAUCGACACUACCAAACUUGAUAAAUAGGUGAUGGCGAUCCAAAAACUGUACCUUCCAUAUGAUAAGAUCCACAUAGUCUUGAAAGU